rnacentral:rRNA from 1 species
UACGUAGGGUCCGAGCGUUGUCCGGAAUUACUGGGCGUAAAGAGCGUGUAGGCGGCCUGACAGGUCUGCUGUGAAAACUCGAGGCUCAACCUCGAGAUGUCGGCGGAAACCGUCUGGCUAGAGUCCGGAAGAGGAGAGUGGAAUUCCUGGUGUAGCGGUGAAAUGCGCAGAUAUCAGGAAGAACACCUAUGGCGAAGGCAGCUCUCUGGGACGGUACUGACGCUGAGACGCGAAAGCGUGGGGAGCGAACAGG